CACGUAGGGCGCAAGCGUUGUCCGGAAUUAUUGGGCGUAAAGAGCUCGUAGGCGGUCUGUUACGUCUGCUGUGAAAACCCAGGGCUUAACCCUGGGCUUGCAGUGGAUACGGGCAGACUAGAGGCAGGUAGGGGAGAAUGGAAUUCCCGGUGUAGCGGUGAAAUGCGCAGAUAUCGGGAGGAACACCGGUGGCGAAGGCGGUUCUCUGGGCAUGUCCUGACGCUGAGGAGCGAAAGUGUGGGGAGCGAACAGG
rnacentral:rRNA from 1 species